rnacentral:sRNA from 1 species
UCUUUUAUAAUCCCACCACUCGUCUUUCUAUGUGGGACCGACCUGAUGAUCUGAUUGGCAGGGCAGAUGUUGACAAAAUUAUUCAGGAGCCCCCUCAUAAAAAAGGAAUGGAGGAAUUGAAGAAACUAAGGCACCCAACUCCGACAAUGCUGUCGAUCCAAAAGUGGCAAUUCUCUAUGAGUGCAAUUAAAGAGGAACAAGAAUUAAUGGAAGAAAUUAAUGAAGAUGAGCCUGUUAAAGCAAAAAAACGGAAGAGAAUGUCAAAGAAGUCCUUUAUGUGGAUUGCCCGAGCUUCUCUAUUUAGGAGAGACGAUAAUAAAGACAUUGACUCAGAGAAAGAAGCUGCCAUGGAAGCUGAAAUUAAAGCUGCCCGAGAAAGGGCCAUUGUCCCUCUGGAGGCUCGAAUGAAGCAGUUCAAGGACAUGCUGCUAGAGAGAGGGGUGUCUGCUUUUUCAACAUGGGAGAAGGAGUUGCACAAGAUAGUUUUUGAUCCCCGGUACUUACUUCUCAAUCCUAAAGAGAGAAAACAGGUGUUUGAUCAGUAUGUAAAGACCAGGGCAGAGGAAGAACGCAGGG